UCAGCUCCGAUUCCUGAAAUUCGAGAAAAAACGGGUCAAAAACAGUCAAAAACAGUCAAAAAGAGUCAAAAACACCCUUCUGCCUCCCCUCAUUAACCAAAAAUGAUUAAAAUCACCCAAACUCACCCUAAUUAGCUGGAAUUUGGCCAAAUUCCCUUUGGGGUCUUCUCCACCUCUUCCAAAUCUCUUGGUUGACCCUCAAAAAUUAGUUGAUGACGCGUUAAUGAAGCCAAAUCAGGAAAAAUUAGCUCAUUUUUGCCUAAAAAUCCUCCCCUUAAAAAAGGUGGGGAAUGGUUAAAAAGGGUAGAGAAAUGGUUAAAAAAGGUGGGAAAUGGUUAAAAAGAGGUGGAAAUGGUUAAAAGGGGUGGGGAAUGGUUGAAAAGGGUGGAAAUGGUUAAAAAAGGUGGGAAGUGGUUAAAAGGGGUGGAAAUUGGUUAAAAGAGGUGAAAAUUGGUUAAAAAGGGUGGAAAUUGGUUUAAAAGGGUGGGAAAUGGUUUAAAAAGGUGGAGAAAUGGUUAAAAAAAAGGUGGAAAUGGUUAAAAGGGGUGGGAACUGGUUAAAAAGGAUGGAAAAUGGUUAAAAAGGGUGGAAAAUGGUUAAAAAAAUGUGGGAAAUGGUUAAAAAGGGUGGAAAAUGGUUGAAAAGGGUGGAAAAUGGUUAAAAAGGGUGGGAAAUGGUUAAAAAGGGUGGGAAAUGGUUAAAAAGGGUGGAGAAAUGGUUA
rnacentral:lncRNA from 1 species